GUGGGGAAUCUUGCGCAAUGGGCGAAAGCCUGACGCAGCCAUGCCGCGUGAAUGAUGAAGGUCUUAGGAUUGUAAAAUUCUUUCACCGGGGACGAUAAUGACGGUACCCGGAGAAGAAGCUCCGGCUAACUUCGUGCCAGCAGCCGCGGUAAUACGAAGGGGGCUAGCGUUGCUCGGAAUUACUGGGCGUAAAGGGCGCGUAGGCGGACAGUUUAGUCAGAGGUGAAAGCCCAGGGCUCAACCUUGGAAUUGCCUUUGAUACUGGCUGUCUUGAGUUUGGGAGAGGUGAGUGGAACUCCGAGUGUAGAGGUGAAAUUCGUAGAUAUUCGGAAGAACACCAGUGGCGAAGGCGACUCACUGGCCCAAUACUGACGCUGAGGCGCGAAAGCGUGGGGAGCAAACAGGAUUAGAAACCCCAGUAGUCC
rnacentral:rRNA from 1 species